rnacentral:rRNA from 1 species
CUACGGGACGCUGCAGUGAGGAAUUUUGCGCAAUGGGGGAAACCCUGACGCAGCAACGCCGCGUGAGCGAAGAAGGCCCUCGGGUCGUAAAGCUCUGUCAAGUGGGAAAAAAAUUUUUUGAUCAAUAGUCAAAAGACUUGAUGGUACCACUGGAGGAAGCACCGGCUAACUCCGUGCCAGCAGCCGCGGUAAUACGGAGGGUGCAAGCGUUGUUCGGAUUUACUGGGCGUAAAGAGCGUGUAGGCGGUUUAGCAAGUCAGAUGUGAAAGCCCUGGGCUCAACCCGGGAAGUGCAUUUGAAACUGCUUCACUAGAGUAUGGGAGAGGAGAUUGGAAUGCCUGGUGUAGAGGUGAAAUUCGUAGAUAUCAGGAGGAACACCCGUGGCGAAGGCGAUUCUCUGGACCAAUACUGACGCUGAGACGCGAAAGCGUGGGGAGCAAACAGGAUUAGAUACCCCCGUAGUC